rnacentral:rRNA from 1 species
GCCUACGGGACGCAGCAGUGGGGAAUAUUGCACAAUGGGGGAAACCCUGAUGCAGCGACGCCGCGUGAGUGAAGAAGUAUUUCGGUAUGUAAAGCUCUAUCAGCAGGGAAGAUAAUGACGGUACCUGACUAAGAAGCCCCGGCUAACUACGUGCCAGCAGCCGCGGUAAUACGUAGGUGGCAAGCGUUGUCCGGAUUUACUGGGUGUAAAGGGCGUGCAGCCGGAGAGACAAGUCAGAUGUGAAAUCCGCAGGCUCAACCUGCGAACUGCAUUUGAAACUGUUUCCCUUGAGUAUCGGAGAGGUC